UCGUGCUAGAUGGGAGGCUGGCGGUCUCCUGUUACCCGAAACCCGCCAAUGCGGGAUCGAAUAGGCAUGUUGAGUGCUGAAAAAGGAGAGACAAGUUUAAAGGACCGAAAGCGAUGAAGGUUGGGUCUUACAAUGGCUUCGGCUACAAAUCCCGCCAGGACCGGAAGGUAGCAACGGUAAGUAGUUUUGGUGUCAGUUGUGAGGAAAACCUAAUCCGAGUUUUCCUCCUUUAAAACCCUCUUCGUUUCAGGCGAACUUGCUGCACGA
rnacentral:SRP_RNA from 1 species